GAUGAACGCUGGCGGCGUGCUUAACACAUGCCAGUCGAACGGAAAGGCCCAAGCUUGCUUGGGUGCUCGAGUGGCGAACGGGUGAGUAACACGUGGGUGAUCUGCCCUGCACUUUGGGAUAAGCCUGGGAAACUGGGUCUAAUACCGGAUAGGGCCAUCGUUUAGUGUCGGUGGUGGAAAGUUUUUCGGUGUGGGAUGAGCUCGCGGCCUAUCAGCUUGUUGGUGGGGUAAUGGCCUACCAAGGCGUCGACGGGUAGCCGGCCUGAGAGGGUGUACGGCCACAUUGGGACUGAGAUACGGCCCAGACUCCUACGGGAGGCAGCAGUGGGGAAGAUUGCACAAGGGGCGCAAGCCUGAUGCAGCGACGCCGCGUGGGGGAUGACGGCCUUCGGGUUGUAAACUCCUUUCGCCAAGGACGAAGCGUUUUGUGACGGUACUUGGAGAAGAAGCACCGGCUAACUACGUG
rnacentral:rRNA from 1 species